rnacentral:sRNA from 1 species
UCCGUAGGUGAACCUGCGGAGGGAUCAUUAACAAAUCAAACACACAUACCUGUGUCAAUGUCUGUGCCGAGCGGGGGGUGGCGCAUGGUUGCGCGUGGUACCGUCACUACUACUGGGAAUGGGGAAGCACCUGGUGGUUGUGGGUGCGAUGCGUGGCCAGGCGCUGCCUGAUGGGGAGUGGUGCCUAUAUGUAUGUAUGGGUACGCCUGCCGGCCAACAACUACAAACCAUGUCAGAGUUAUACACAUAUAAUGUAAUAACAACUUUUAACAAUGGAUCUCUUGGCUCUUGCAACGAUGAAGAACGCAGCAAAAUGCGAUAUGUCGUGUGAUCUGCGGGCUUCGUGAAUCAUUAAAUCUUUGAACGCAACUUGCACCAUGUGUCUACGCACAUGGUAUACUUGUUUGAGUAUCACAUUCAUCUAUCACACUGGGUAUGUGUGGACUUGAGGUGUGUGUGCGUGCUUGCUCAUUAGCAGUAAUGGGUAACAACACUCCCUUUAAAUGUAGGUCUGUCGGGACAUGUCACGUCUGUGCAUGCCACUAUCGGGAUAACAUCCAUCGAUGGGGUACGCAUGGCCAUAUGUGUGUGUUUCAUGGACAAGGACGUCGAGGGCAUUGCCUGUAUGUGUGGACAUACGGAGGAUGCCAUUGACAUGUGUCUUGUGUCGUCGUCGUCGCCGCCGGUAAGUGUGUGUGUGUGUGUCAACACGCGCACACUUCUAGCGUACGCAUGUGAUGCGCAGGAUACCUACAUGGAUCUCAAAUCAAGUAAGAAUACCCGCUGAACUUAAGCAUAUCAGUAAGCGGAGGAAAAGAAACUAACAAGGAUUCCCGUAGUAACGGCGAGUGAACGGGGAAGAGCUCAAAUUUAAAAUCUGGUACCUUCGGUGCCCGAAUUGUAUUUGAUAGAUGUGUGAUGUGGAACAGACGCGUGGCUCAAGUCCUCUGGAAAGGGGCGCCUAAGAGGGUGAUAGCCCCGUGGAGGCUACGCGUAUACACUGGACCAGUAUCUUCACACGUCGACGAGUCGGAUUGUUUGGGAAUGCAGUCCAAAAUGGGUGGUACGAGCCAUCUAAAGCUAAAUAACGGCAAGAGACCGAUAGCGAACAAGUACCGUGAGGGAAAGAUGAAAAGCACUUUGAAAAGAGAGUUAAAUAGUACGUGAAAUUGUUAAAAGGGAAACGCUUGAAGU